rnacentral:rRNA from 1 species
CGUAGGCGAAUAAGAGUUUACGAUGGCUCCUUGGUGUUCAGAAGCGAUGAAGGGCGUGGUUACCAACGAUAUGUUUUGGGAAAGCUGGAAGCAAGCCUAGAUCCAAAAAUCCCCUAAUGAGGAAACUUAAUUUAUACUAGACUCUAUUAGAUAUAAUAGGGAAGGGGCGAACCUAGCGAAGUGAAACAUCUUAGUAGCUAGAGGACAGACAAAUUAAUAUGUUGGCCCCUAGUAGCGGCGAGCGAACGCGGGAAAACAGCUCAAACUUUAUUUAUUUUUAAUAAAGGGUUGUGCAACAGCUUUAUUUUUCAGUAAAACAGUAAUAAAAGAAAAAUGUGAAAUCGUUUACCAUAGAAGGUGAAAGUCCUGUAUUCUAUUAUUGAGCAAACUGAAGUUGAUUGCGAGUAGGUCGGGACACGUGAAAUUCCUGCCGAAUGAGGGUGGACCACUGGUAUCUGAAGACAUAAGAACUUCAAUUUAUCUAAUAUUCCCCAAUGAGGAAACACAUCCAAGGCGGCCUGAUAUUACUGAACAACCGAUAGUGAAGAGUACCGUGAGGGAAAGGUGAAAAGAACCCCGAAAGGGGAGUGAAAAGAUCAUGAAUUCGUAAACUUACAAGCAGUAGAAAGGUAUUUGUAUGCUUAACUUCGUGCCUGUUGAAGAAUGAGCUAGCGACUUGUAGAUUGUGGCAUUUUUGGUUAAUUCUUGAUCGGUAAAAACAUAUCGGAGCCAUAGUGAAAGCGAGGACGAAAAGUUCAUGACGAAGUAGAAAAGUUUCUAUUUUUUAUUCAUGUCACAAUUUACAAACCCGAACCCGAAUGAUCUAACCGUGAUCAGUGUGAAACUUAGUUAACGCUAAACGGAGGCAUGAACUGACUGUUGCUGCAAGAACAGCGGAUGAAUUGCGGUUAGGGGUGAAAUUCCAAUCGAAUUCGGAGCUAGCUGGAUCUCCCCGAAAUGUGUUGAGGCGCAGCAAUUAAAAAUUUAUGUUCACUAUUGGGGGUAGAGCACUGUUUUGGUACGGGCCAUGAAAAAAUGGGACUAAAUCAAGGCAAACUAUGAAUACUAAAUAGGAUGUAAAGGUACACAAUUAGGUGUUAAUUUUAAAUUAGUGAGACAUCGAGGGAUAAGCUUCAAUGUCAAAAGGGAAACAGCCCAGAUUAUUAGUUAAGGCCCUUAAAAAAAUACUGAGUGAGAAAGGAGGUGGAAUAACCAUAACAACCAGGAAGUUUGCUUAGAAGCAGCAAUCUUGUAAAGAGUGCGUAAUAGCUCACUGGUCUAGCAGUUCAAGCGAAUCCAAGUUAUUCUGCGCUGAAAAUGAUUGGGACUAAGUAAUUUGCCGAAACUAUAGGAUAUCAGUUAAAAAUCAUAUAUUAGAAUUUUUAGUAGGCAUCGGUAGGGGAGCGUUCCACAUUAGAAAAGACAAAAGUGGGAGUGAGAAUGUUAGCUUGAGUAGCGAAAACAUUGGUGAGAAUCCAAUGCUCCAGAAACCUAAGGGUUCCUUUGGUAGGUUCGUCCACGAAGGGUGAGUCAGGUCCUAAAAUAAGGCUGUUUGCAUAGUUGAUGGAUAACAGGUCAAUAAUCCUGUACUACUAUAAAAAAUAGUGACAUGAAGGGGACGAAGUUUAAAAUAAACCUAAAAUUCUUUUUCCAAGAAAAGCCUAAGUGUUAAAAAUGUUAUUUAUUAUUAGAUAAAAUAAAUCUCAUAAUUUUUUAAAGUACCUGUACCAAACCGACACAGGUGGUGGGUAGAACAUACUAAGGAGCGCGAGAGAACUCUCUUUAAGGAACUCGGCAAAAUAGCCUCGUAACUUCGGGAGAAGGGGUGCCGUUAAAGAAUGAUAUUCUAUAGGUUUUAUCUUUAAUGGUUGCAAUAACAAGACGCUGGCGACUGUUUAUCAAAAACACAAGUCUCCGCAAAGUUACAAAACGACGUAUGGGGGCUGACACCUGCCCAGUGCCGGUAGGUUAAGGAAGCUUGUUCACGCUCGCGACGGAAGCCCCGGUAAACGGCGGCCGUAACUAUAACGGUCCUAAGGUAGCGAAAUUCCUUGUCGGGUAAGUUCCGACCCGCACGAAUGGUGUAACGACCGGCGUACUGUCUCAAAGAGAGGCUCGGCGAAAUAGACUUGUCUGUGAAGAUGCGGACUACCUGCACUUGGACAAAAAGACCCUAUGAAGCUUUACUGUAUCCUGAUAUUGAUUUUGGGUUUUGUUUGUAUAGAAUAGGUGGGAGGCAAUGAUAAUUUUUCUAUGAAAGGUUUGAGCCAACAGUGAAAUACCACUCUUGCAAAACACAAAGUCUAACUUUAUACUGUGAAUCAGGUUAGAGGACAGUGUUUGGUGGUCAGUUUGACUGGGGCGGUCGCCUCCUAAAGAGUAACGGAGGUGUGCAAAGGUUUUCUCAAACUGGUUGGAAAUCAGAGUUAGAGUAUAAAGGCAUAAGAAAGCUUGAUUGUGAGACAUACAAGUCAAACAAAGACGAAAGUCGGCCUUAGUGAUCCGACAAUACUUAGUGGGAGGGUUGUCGCUCAACGGAUAAAAGUUACUCUAGGGAUAACAGGCUAAUCUCCCCCAAGAGUCCAUAUCGACGGGGAGGUUUGGCACCUCGAUGUCGGCUCGUCGCAUCCUGGGGCGGUAGUACGUCCCAAGGGUUGGUCUGUUCGCCCAUAAAAGCGGCACGUGAGCUGGGUUCAGAACGUCGUGAGACAGUUCGGUCCAUAUCCAGUGUGGGCGUUAAGUAUUGUGAAAACUUCUUCUUAGUACGAGAGGACCAGAAGAACCAUACCUCUGGUAUACCAGUUAUUCUAAGGUAGCGCUGGGUAGCUAUGUAUGACUAAGAUAACCGCUGAAAGCAUCUAAGCGGGAAGCUAUUUUCAAGAUGAGUACUUCAUUUAGUAAUUACGGCAAGACUAGCCGGUUGAUAGGUAUCAAGUAAUAAUAUUAUUAUAUGACAGUAUUUUUAACAAUGUCAUUUGUAUUUAUCUAUAAUUUGAUAUAUGCUAUAUCCUUGUGAAGAGUUUUUAGGAGGGUAGUUACAUAAAAAAUCUAAUUUUAAUUAAAUUACAAUAUAAGUUGUUAGUAGUAAAUGUAAUUAUAAUAGUUAAUAAAAGCUAAGAUAUACUAAUAGAUAAAGGAGCUUACUU